UACGAAGGGGGGCUAGCGUUGCUCGGAAUCACUGGGCGUAAAGGGUGCGUAGGCGGGUCUUUAAGUCAGGGGUGAAAUCCUGGAGCUCAACUCCAGAACUGCCUUUGAUACUGAAGAUCUUGAGUUCGGGAGAGGUGAGUGGAACUGCGAGUGUAGAGGUGAAAUUCGUAGAUAUUCGCAAGAACACCAGUGGCGAAGGCGGCUCACUGGCCCGAUACUGACGCUGAGGCACGAGAGCGUGGGGAGCAAACAGGG
rnacentral:rRNA from 1 species